GCUAUCAUAAAUUCAGUGGAGAAGACCCUGUGAUCAGAAAAUAAGAUGGAGUUUAGGAGUGACUAUAUCUUGUGAACUUUGAAAAGUAAUGAGAGCGAGCCACCAAGAGGUGCAAGAAAGGAAUUCAUGCCAUAUUUAAUGCAAACCAGAGCAACAUCAAACUUCAAAAAAAAAUGACCUUCAGGACUAGAACUAGAGGUUCUACAAGACAAAUACAAGAGCUGUGUUUAUCAACAUUAUAAAUGAUCUGAGG
rnacentral:lncRNA from 1 species